UUGGAGGUCAGCUAAAAAGUCUUUCACUCU
rnacentral:piRNA from 1 species